rnacentral:rRNA from 1 species
GACGAACGCUGGCGGCGUGCCUAAUACAUGCAAGUUGAGCGCUGAAGGUUGGUACUUGUACCGACUGGAUGAGCAGCGAACGGGUGAGUAACGCGUGGGGAAUCUGCCUUUGAGCGGGGGACAACAUUUGGAAACGAAUGCUAAUACCGCAUAAAAACUUUAAACACAAGUUUUAAGUUUGAAAGAUGCAAUUGCAUCACUCAAAGAUGAUCCCGCGUUGUAUUAGCUAGUUGGUGAGGUAAAGGCUCACCAAGGCGAUGAUACAUCGCCGACCUGAGAGGGUGAUCGGCCACAUUGGGACUGAGACACGGCCCAAACUCCUACGGGAGGCAGCAGUAGGGAAUCUUCGGCAAUGGACGAAAGUCUGACCGAGCAACGCCGCGUGAGUGAAGAAGGUUUUCGGGUCGUAAAACUCUGUUGGUAGAGAAGAACGUUGGUGAGAGUGGAAAGCUCAUCAAGUGACGGUAACUACCCAGAAAGGGACGGCUAACUACGUGCCAGCCGCCGCGGUAA